GGUCAGCGACUUAUAUUCUGUAGCAAGGUUAACCGUAUAGGGGAGCCGCAGGGAAACCGAGUCUUAACUGGGCGUUAAGUUGCAGGGUAUAGACCCGAAACCCGGUGAUCUAGCCAUGGGCAGGUUGAAGGUUGGGUAACACUAACUGGAGGACCGAACCGACUAAUGUUGAAAAAUUAGCGGAUGACUUGUGGCUGGGGGUGAAAGGCCAAUCAAACCGGGAGAUAGCUGGUUCUCCCCGAAAGCUAUUUAGGUAGCGCCUCGUGAACUCAUCUUCGGGGGUAGAGCACUGUUUCGGCUAGGGGGUCAUCCCGACUUACCAACCCGAUGCAAACUACGAAUACCGAAGAAUGUUAUCACGGGAGACACACGGCGGGUGCUAACGUCCGUCGUGAAGAGGGAAACAACCCAGACCGCCAGCUAAGGUCCCAAAGUCAUGGUUAAGUGGGAAACGAUGUGGGAAGGCACAGACAGCCAGGAUGUUGGCUUAGAAGCAGCCAUCAUUUAAAGAAAGCGUAAUAGCUCACUGGUCGAGUCGGCCUGCGCGGAAGAUGUAACGGGGCUAAACCAUGCACCGAAGCUGCGGCAGCGACACUAUGUGUUGUUGGGUAGGGGAGCGUUCUGUAAGCCUGCGAAGGUGUGCUGUGAGGCAUGCUGGAGGUAUCAGAAGUGCGAAUGCUGACAUAAGUAACGAUAAAGCGGGUGAAAAGCCCGCUCGCCGGAAGACCAAGGGUUCCUGUCCAACGUUAAUCGGGGCAGGGUGAGUCGACCCCUAAGGCGAGGCCGAAAGGCGUAGUCGAUGGGAAACAGGUUAAUAUUCCUGUACUUGGUGUUACUGCGAAGGGGGGACGGAGAAGGCUAUGUUAGCCGGGCGACGGUUGUCCCGGUUUAAGCAUGUAGGCUGGUUAUCCAGGCAAAUCCGGAUAAUCAAGGCUGAGGUGUGAUGACGAGGCACUACGGUGCUGAAGUAACAAAUGCCCUGCUUCCAGGAAAAGCCUCUAAGCAUCAGGUAACAUCAAAUCGUACCCCAAACCGACACAGGUGGUCAGGUAGAGAAUACCAAGGCGCUUGAGAGAACUCGGGUGAAGGAACUAGGCAAAAUGGUGCCGUAACUUCGGGAGAAGGCACGCUGGUGUGUAGGUGAAGCCCCUGCGGGUGGAGCUGAGACCAGUCGAAGAUACCAGCUGGCUGCAACUGUUUAUUAAAAACACAGCACUGUGCAAACACGAAAGUGGACGUAUACGGUGUGACGCCUGCCCGGUGCCGGAAGGUUAAUUGAUGGGGUUAUCCGUAAGGAGAAGCUCUUGAUCGAAGCCCCGGUAAACGGCGGCCGUAACUAUAACGGUCCUAAGGUAGCGAAAUUCCUUGUCGGGUAAGUUCCGACCUGCACGAAUGGCGUAAUGAUGGCCAGGCUGUCUCCACCCGAGACUCAGUGAAAUUGAACUCGCUGUGAAGAUGCAGUGUACCCGCGGCAAGACGGAAAGACCCCGUGAACCUUUACUAUAGCUUGACACUGAACAUUGAGCCUUGAUGUGUAGGAUAGGUGGGAGGCUUUGAAGCGUGGACGCCAGUCUGCGUGGAGCCAACCUUGAAAUACCACCCUUUAAUGUUUGAUGUUCUAACGUUGGCCCCUGACCGGGGUUGCGGACAGUGUCUGGUGGGUAGUUUGACUGGGGCGGUCUCCUCCCAAAGCGUAACGGAGGAGCACGAAGGUUAGCUAAUCCUGGUCGGACAUCAGGAGGUUAGUGCAAUGGCAUAAGCUAGCUUGACUGCGAGCGUGACGGCGCGAGCAGGUGCGAAAGCAGGUCAUAGUGAUCCGGUGGUUCUGAAUGGAAGGGCCAUCGCUCAACGGAUAAAAGGUACUCCGGGGAUAACAGGCUGAUACCGCCCAAGAGUUCAUAUCGACGGCGGUGUUUGGCACCUCGAUGUCGGCUCAUCACAUCCUGGGGCUGAAGUAGGUCCCAAGGGUAUGGCUGUUCGCCAUUUAAAGUGGUACGCGAGCUGGGUUUAGAACGUCGUGAGACAGUUCGGUCCCUAUCUGCCGUGGGCGCUGGAGAAUUGAGGGGGGCUGCUCCUAGUACGAGAGGACCGGAGUGGACGCAUCACUGGUGUUCGGGUUGUCAUGCCAAUGGCACUGCCCGGUAGCUAAAUGCGGAAGAGAUAAGUGCUGAAAGCAUCUAAGCACGAAACUUGCCCCGAGAUGAGUUCU
rnacentral:rRNA from 1 species